rnacentral:rRNA from 1 species
AGAGUUUGAUCAUGGCUCAGGAUGAACGUCUAGUCGGGAGGCUUAAUACAUGCAAGUCGAGGGGCAGCAUAGACGAACCUAGUUUGUCUGAUGGCGACCGGCGCACGGUUGAGUAACGCGUACGCAACCUACCCUUGAGCGGGGCAUAGCCCCGGGAAACUGGGAGUAAUACCCCAUAGCAUCCAGAUAACGCAUAUUAUUUGGAUUAAAACUGAGGUGCUCAAGGAUGGGCGUGCGUGCUAUUAGAUAGUUGGUGAGGUAACGGCUCACCAAGUCUACGAUAGCUAGGGGGCGUGAGAGCGUGAUCCCCCACACGGGUACUGAGACACGGACCUGACUCCUACGGGAGGCAGCAGUAAGGAAUAUUGGACAAUGGGCGAAAGCCUGAUCCAGCCAUCCCGCGUGCAGGAAGACGGCCCUCUGGGUUGUAAACUGCUUUUAUAUGGGAAGAACCGGCCCUAUUUAUAGGGCUUUGACGGUACCAUACGAAUAAGCACCGGCUAACUCCGUGCCAGCAGCCGCGGUAAUACGGAGGGUGCAAGCGUUAUCCGGAAUCACUGGGUUUAAAGGGUGCGUAGGUGGCCCGAUUAGUCAGAGUGAAAGCNAAUAGCUUAACUAU